rnacentral:rRNA from 1 species
GACAUAGGUGGCGAACGUUAUCCGGAAUUACUGGGCGUAAAGUGUGCGUAGGUGGUUUAAUUAGUUAUCGGUGGGAAAUUGGGCUCAACCCCACGGAAGUCGAUAAUACUAUAACUAGAGGAUCGGAGGGUUAACGGAAUUCACAUGUGGAGCGGUAAAUGCUUGAUAUAUGGAAGAACACCAAUUGGCGAAGGCAGUUAACU